AUGCCUCACAAACAACAGAAGUACCGCAUCCCUAGUUUUUUCUAGAUGUCCAGCUUAUUUAUGGACAGCGGGGUGGAUUGGAUCAAAUUAUUGCAUAAUCUGCUGGACCAUCAGAAAUUACUUAUAUCAGAAAUUAAUCCACACCAAAUAAUUGGAGCUGACUUAAUGAUUUCCUCAUAAAUACACGCAGGACAGAAUGAAGCUGAGGAACUCCUAAUUUUUUAAAGAAAACCACUUUUUAAUGUGAAGUUGCUCAUGCAUUUGCCUGGUAUCGCUGAAUUUGGUCACAGACAUGAGAGCGCUUCCUUCUGAGUCAGAAAAAAUCAUGAAGUAUUACUGCUGGUAUGUUCUAUAUUGGAAUUAAAAAGUGGAAAUACCUGGCUAAAAGUGAAAACAAUUUCAGUUAGAUUUUCACAUUUGUGAGGGAUUCACAUUUGUGGUAUGUGUAGGAAAAACAGCUAAAUCUCGAAAAGUUCUUUGGCCUAUGACAACUUUUAGUCUUGGUUGUUUCCCAUUUUUUUUUGUUCAAUCUGACAUGAAUUUAAAUUAGUUUCACUUUCUACAGACAUUACCAAUGCUGUAGUUGUUUUCAUUUGAACUUUUAUUCCUGUGAUUUUAAAAAUUAUGGUUUAGAUAGCUCCAAGACUGAUUAUACCAGGAAAUCCAUAAAGGAAGUGAAAUAAUUGCCUUCUUUCACUACUGUAGUAUUACUAUAGGUGUGCAGGUAAAGCCAUAAUGAGAAUUCACUGAUGUUCUGAUAUUAAUAAUGAUACUACUAGGUGUCAGCAUUAAUACUGCUAUGUUUAUAAGAUAAUAUAUUGUGAAAAGGAAACCUUACCAUUAUACUUUCCUGAUGUUUUAACCAAUCAAACAAAACCAGGCUAUUUACCACCAAAAAAACCCACAGAUUCAAAAUUAAGGUGUUUAUUUUACCUCGCUGACAGUGAUGUAUAGGCAACCAUACAUUGCAAAAUACUCAAUCAUCAAAGCAAAUGAUCUAGCAUACCAGGAACCAGUUUCUCCUAAAAAGGUAUUUUUUUAUUUUCACCGUGUACUGAUGUUUUAUCAUAGAGAAAGAAAUAUGGAACUUCUCUUACAGUCAUGAGGCAGCUCAUUCGUGUAUGUAUUGUUUCAAGUACACUGUAUUUUGGGAAAGCUAGAGUAUUAUUUAUUUUAGUGACAAACACAAUUUGGAGCUUUUUGUAAGCAGAUCAGUGUGGAAAUAAUAGAUUUGAAGAAUGAAUUAAAAAGGCCCCAGCAAAAAGCUUUUGUGUAAGAAUACACCAGUAAAAAAGAAUAAUACAGAAAGUCAAGUUAGCACCUUUAUUGCAUGGACUGGUAUGGAGCAGGACAGAAUAGAUGUAUUUUCUUUGAACCCUCCAUUUAUACUAUGUUGUUCAUAUGUAAGAUUACACCUUCUAUUUACAGGUCAUUACAACCAUUUGAAACAACCAACUAGCAGUAAGAUUACUUGACUCAGGCUUUUUGUUGGUGUCAUAACAGAUCUUUUCUAACACCUAUGAAACAGCUAUUCUUAAAAGGAAUAGCAGAGUUGUCUCAGUUCUUGUUUGCUUUUCGUUCUAAUACUGUCUGCCUAGGCAGUUUGCCUACUGAGGCUAAGGAAGGUCUGUCAAUUCCUAAACAUUUCUGUCAUCUAAGUGUGUUUAGUCCCUGGUUCCUCCAUGGAUUUCCAGCCUCUGCUACCUGUGAUAUUGCCCACCCACUUGUGCCAUGACGACAGACAUUUUUUAAUACACUUUUCAUGAACAUAUUCAGAACUUGCUGUCUUCUUGAAAAAGAGAUACUCAUUUGAGCUGUUCUGGCGAUACUAAGUAGUAGUUGUAGCUGCCAAGCAGCACAUAAGAUUAUGGUUUAUGAUUUCAUUACAGACAAGCCGGGAAAGAAAUAUCAAUUAAUUACAUUUUAUAAAGUAUAACAUUAAUAAAUAUAUUUAACGCUGAAAUAGACAAAUGCAUGGGAUUAAGUUCUACUGACUGUUACUAAAAGCCACAAAGUGAUUCUGAAUUUUGUCUGCUAUAAAUAAGGAAUUACUUAGCCAAUGACAUAAGAAAAAAUAUCAGAAACAGGAACUCUUCCAGAAACUCUGUACAGCCAAUAGAUGAGCAAGGUAUGAAAUGAGUACUCAGAAGAUCAAACCACAGGAGAAAACCAAAAUGGAUUAUUUGCAUAUGUAAGAACAGAUUGUGGAGGUUUGUGUCUUAAAAGGUUACAGAGCAACAAAAUGAACAGUAGCAAAGUCAGUAAGACUAAAGCCAGGAGUUCUAGUGGAAUAAAGAGUGAAGUGGCUGCACAAUUAUAUCUUUCACUUAAAGCUGAUGUCAUGCCAAAAGAAUAGAAAAUGGCAUAUGGGACCCCAGGUUUUUACAGGAUUUAUGAGGUGAACUAGUAACUCUUAUGUCCAUCCAGAGCGAAGUGAUACAAACUCCAAAAAACACAGAAUACAUGAUUAUGUGGAUUUAUUGUACAGUAUUUUGUAAAGUUUAUUUUCUUGGAAGUUACUAGAAAGUCCCACAAAAUUCUCUGUUAAGGCCUGCACUGCUCAAUAUAUUCAUGGGACGGAAGGGUAAAAUAGCACCAUGUCAAAGUUUGAUGAUGACAAUAAGUUUUUCAAGUUACAGUUUUCUGCAAAGAGCUGUAGACGGUGUUCAUGGUGCUAGAGAACUGGGCAAUAAACUGGAAAAUGAAAUUCAGUACAAUAUCAGGCACAGCAAUAUAAUUUUAAAUAGAAAAUAAUGGGCCCCAAAAUGGCUAAUACCACCCAGAAAAAAAAGGAUCUUUGAAAUGUGAUAGACGUUGAUAUGAAGACAGUGUCUGUAUGCUCAGUAAUAAUCAUAAAGGCAAACAGAAUGUUACUAACCUGUAGAAAUGGAGUAGAAAAUAAAACAGUAAACAUCAUGGUGCUGCUAUAUAAAUACUAUGGAUGUGUCUUCUACACUUGUGGUGGUACGGACCCCACCCCAGGGCCACCCGGGGGACCUCAAGACAAGCCAACAUGGUGUUCUCAAGUGUUCUUGUUUUGAUCACAAGUGCAGUGAGUAGAAAUGAACUGGCAUUCCUCAGCUGGUGAUCAUUAGAGAGGCCAGCAUUAUGUUCCUGCCUGGGGACACAGGUUCUUGUCUUGAUGGAAGGGUGUAGUGAGUUGGGACAAUUAGGGAGUCUUUGCUUGGUGAUCACAAGGCAGGCCAACAUUGUUCUUGCCUUGAUCAAAGAGUGAGUUUGGACUAUCAGGUGCCUCCUGACUGCACCUGAAACUCCUACUAACUGGAUUGUUGCCCGAUGUGGGAAGUACCAUGUGAGCUUGAGGCACAAGCUGUGGAAAAAUGUUGACCAAAGACAAUCAUCUUGUGAUCCUAUAAAUAGUGAUCCUAAAGGGAGACCCUUUGAGCUCUCCUGGACUGCAGCGGGCUGUAACCCAGUAUCUUCUCCUGACUGGAAGACCUUCAGUGCUGACAUCACAAAAACUCAGAUGUCAUCUACUGAUGAUUUUGCAAGGAUCCAAAGACCUAAUUUUGCACAGUUUGACUAUCAUCCACUGAUGAAUGUCCACUCAUAAAAAUCCGUAGUGUUCCACCUGACUGGUUCUACACCUGACCGAGACACUCUCAGGAAGAACUUGUGCCUUAUUCCUAAUCCAUGUACCAGCUGAAAGCAAGGAAGAAUUUUAGCUUUUGACAAUGCAGCUAGAAAAAUUAUAUAUGUGUACUGAAAUCUUAUUCCCAUUAAAAGAGUAUUUUGUGCUUGAAGUUUAAUUGCGUAGAAUUGACCCUUAAAGACAUGGCGUAUGAUUCAGAGAAUUAAAAGAUACUAAAUUGCUGUUCCCUAGGACACCAAGGGUAGAAUUAAUCCAAAAUGAGUGUCAUGAGUCAGCUGGAGAUGCCUGUCUUUCUCCAUUAAAUAUAGAGGGAAUGUAAACAGCUGUUUCUUAAUUACAUAUUUAACCAUCAGAUAGCUAAAGGUAAAUGGACUGAGUACCAUCUUUAAUAGAUUAAGAACACUGUAAUGCACACACACACGCGCACACACACACACACACACAUCACAUACUGUUAGCAUCACUUUUUACAAGCCAUCUUCCACCCAAAGCAACAGAUUUCAGUUGGUUGCAGUUUGACAUACUAUGUUUGAUGUGAAGGCUUCAGUUCUUGGCUGAAUGUCUUCCAAAAAGUCAGUCAGAAAUGAGGAUCAGGUUAGGGAACAUUUAGACAAUAGGGACAUACGUUCCAUGGAACCUGAGGGGAUGCAACCUGUAAGUGCAGAAGGGGCUGGCUAAAGUCAUUACAAGGUCCUUUUUUAUAAUCUUUGAAAAGUCAUGGCAACUGGGGGUUUCCUGUCAUUCAUCUUCAAGAAGGGCAAGAAGAAUUUUUGGAACUGCAGGCCAGUCAGCCUCACCUCAAUCCCUGGGAAGGUGAUGAAGCAAAUCAUCCUGAAAAAAACAUCUGAAACAUAUGAUGGUCAAGAGUGAUUGGAAGUGGUCUGCAGAAAUCAUGCAUGAACAACCUGAUGGCCUUCUCUGAUGAUGUGGAUGUUUUUUAUCUUGACUUCAGUGAAGGUUUUCAACACUGUCUCCCGUAAUAUCCUCGUACACAAACCAAUGAAGUGUGGCCUAGAUAAGUGGACAAUGAGGUGGGUUGAAAACCAAACUGCUCAGAGGUGCAGAGGCUUGCAAUAAGUGGCACAAAGUCCAGUCACUUGUGUUGAACCCUACAGGUCAAUACAGGGUCCAGUACUGUUUAACCUCUUCAUCAAAGACGUUGAUGAUGGGGUGCAGUGCACCCUCAACAAGUUUGCAAGACAUACUAAUUGGAAGGGCUGGUUGAUACACCAGCUUGUUAUGAUGCCGUUUAGAGAGACUUCAACAGGCUGGAGAAAUGGGCAGACAAGAAUUUCAUGAAGUUCAUCAAAACAAGGAGAAUGGAGUAGAUCAUCUCCAGAUGUCCCUUCCAGCCUCACCAAUUCUGUGAUUCUGCAAGUCUGAACAAAGCUAAGAAGGAAAACAAACAAACAAACAAACAGGUUAUUUUCCUUACAUUAAAUAUAUAUUGGUACUUUUUAUUUGACAGAGGUAACUCCUCCUUAUCUGCUUUCAAUCAGCAACUUCAUAUUUGGCAGAGAUACAGAUUUUGUAUGAAGGAUACUCCUAUUGCCUUCCUGAUCAAUUGUCCUCUAAAGAUGAACAAUUUAUAAGCUUAUGCAAUAUCUAGUUUUACAUAUGUUCAGCAGGAAUUUAUUAAACAUUAACAGCUAAAAUUCCAAAAAUACUGUUAUCUCUGACUUUUCUAGAAGUCCCCUGGUAUGCUGACCACACCACUGAAACACUGUUUUACAUCUGUCCAGAGUUUCAGUGCCUCAUUUUCUGAAUAAAAUACUUACAGUCCCAACGCACAGAAUUACACAGCAGUUGAAUCUGCCACCCAUGCCAAUAGGGAACACUGUAAACCUACAUAGUGAAAUAUCAUGCUGAAUUCUCUGAAGAAUUACCUUCCAGUUUUCUUAAAUCGGGCACCCAACGUUAAUUCCAAUUUUAUUCUACUCAUACCCUAGAUCCACUUCUGUAAGGGGAAGACAGUAUUUACCUCAAGGAGAUUUUGUGAAGACGAGUAUUAAUGAAGGGACAGAUACCCUUGUAACCAUCACACACCCAUGAGAAAAUUCAUACUCAUCUUUUCAAACGGGGUCUAACUAGACUGCAGUGAACAAGGUAUAGGUACGAGCUUCAUGCAGAACAAUGAGAAAGAAACAACAUAAUGAAAAGCUAUUCAGUAAGUAAACACUGUUCUUCCUGUGCAUCAAGGGAGGCAGGAAUCCUGCAGGAAAAGAGCAAACCCGUUGGGGACGUGUGGUUUGUCCUGCUCCAGGCUGCAUUGGUCAGGCUGUUCAACAGAGACCCCACAACAGCCUUGUCUGCUUUAUUUUAUAUCCCUUACCCACCACCACGCUAAAUAAACAACCCACCAUGUUUUGCUGUUUUUCAUUGGCCUCCAUUUUGUCAGCUACAUCCUCACUUGGGAAUUUCAGCCUCAGCCAGCACAGCCCUGUCACUGUCUUGGAAAAUCUUCACCCACAGAGGGUUCCCCAUGCUCCCUAUUCUCAUAUUUUGUCUCGUAGUUCCUCCUGUUACUGUAUUGCCAGUUUAGCCUCGGGUUGGCCCAUGACUUUCCCCUUCUCCCAUCUGCAAUACCAGCAGUUUCCUGCCCUGUCAGCCCAUGUCACGGGUGCGCAGUGAGGGCAGCUGCAGCCCCAAGUCCUGCUGUUGCCAGCACCACUGCAACCCUGGAGCAGCAUCGCAGCCUGCAGCAAGUGAGCGCCCCGCAGCAGUAAUGAGGUGGCUUUGGCUUUUUUAGCACGUGCCACAUGUCCCUCACCACAAGGUAUAGUGAUGUUUGCAGCGAGGUGGAAUGCACUGCUUCCCUCGCUAACAUGUCUGCUGACAUGAGGUCUGGUCCCUCUCCAUCACCUGUUCCACAGGCAGGUCUGCAUUGGCCAUCAAAUCUUGGAACAUCCCUCUGGGUGACGUACUCCUAAAGCCACUGGUAUGUUGUUUUCCCAAUGAACCCAAUAAUUUAGCAUAAACCACUGUCCUGCACACCCUUGACAGAGGUGAUGUAAAAGAGUAAAGGCUGUAUUAUAAAGGUUGUGUUAAAAAUGUGAGAACACAAAACCAGAAAUAAUGAGUCAGAUUAAGGGACCACCAGCCGAGUAUCUCCAACACUGGCCGAGUAAGUUUGCAGGGAGGAGCACAGACCAGAGCAAGAUGCUUCCCCAAAAAAUCCCAGCAUCUACGGAUUUGUAGCUUACCAGCAGCUAACGAUUGUAUCCUUGUACAUUAAAACUCUUAAUUCCUUUAUUCCAUUAAUUUCUCCAAUUUCAGUUUGAAACUGGAUAUUUUUUUUGCAUCUAACAUGAUGUCAUGUUUCCCAGACUAACUAUGUGUUAUGGAAAAUGUUACUACUUUUGUCUGGUUUGAAUGUACUAGUUUUGAAUGGGAGAAAGAUUUAUUUUUAGUUUUAAUUGAUGUCACCUAGCUGUUGAAUGAGAAGACACAGUGAGCAAACAUUUUCUGUUCUUGUCCUGUGCCACUCAUGUCAUUAUCAUAUUCUUCACCUAUCUGUCUUUUAUCCAUGCAGAAAAGUCAUGGCCUAUUUAAUUGUUUUUCAUAUUCAAAGCAUCCCACAUGUUUGACCAUCCUUAUCACCAUUCUCUGCUCUUCUUUGAGAGGGAAGAACUGAAUUGCAUUCAGUAUGCAAGAUGUGAGCACACCAAGAACAUCUACCAGCAAAACUAUGUUAUCUCAUUUAUUUUUUUAGUAUUUUCAUAAUCAUUUCUAAAUUCUGUCUCCUUUUUAGUAGCUACUCGGCACUGAAUUUACGUUUUUUCUGGGCUUGCCCAUUGAAGCUCCUGAACAGUACCAGCUAGUUCAGUAUCCAUCACUGUGUAUUUAAAGCUGAGGAUGGUUUUUGCCAUGUGCCACCUGUAUCUACAUGAAUUUCACUGACCAUUUAAUCACCUGAUAACAGCAUGAGAUCUUUCUGCAACUCUUCAAAAGAACCUCUGGUCUCUAUUAAUUUGGUUUUUACUCAGUAUCACAAGCAAACUUGACUUUUCAGCCUUGAAUACAUUUUUAAAGUAAUUAAUAUAUUAAGUCUGUAAACAUACACUUAGAAGCAAAUAGAUUUUUUCUAAUAAUAAUGCCAAAAUUUCUCCAAAGAUUAAGAAUGCCUAUGACAUGCAUUUACCUUCCUCAGUUGAAGUUCAUUAAUUUUGUCUGUAUGAAGAUUUCAAAGCCAGAUUACUAACCUUUCACAGGAAAGGUGGCAGAAAACCUGGUCUGAAUAAGAAGUACUAGAACUCUGUAAUUUUUUUGUUGUUUCCAUCUUCAAGCAUUUCUCUUGCUCUUUCUCUCACUCUCAUAUCUUUUUCUGCAAAAUUUCUUUACCUUCUUAUUUUGUUACUUCGCAUCUGUUCCCGUUUACAUUUUUCUCUUGAUUUUUUUCUUCGUUUCAGUGUCCUUUUGUUUAUUCUGUUUCUUGAGUUUCUACUUCUGUUUGUUUGUUUUGUAGAAUUCUCUCCAGUUCUGUACUGUUCCAUUGUGAUGAUUGCAACCACACUAUCACCUAAUGCUUACUAUUUUUAUUGCAGUACUGCAUCAAUCAGCCUUCCUAUAAGCCCUUGUGGACCUAACAAAAAGGUGGUUGCUGUCCUUGAACACUUGGCCCAAGUCAGGGACAAAACAUAACAGGUAAAAACAGUGGAUGUGGAAGCACAACGUACCAGUGAAAGAGUGAAGGGGAGAAGUUGAAAUCAAAACAUGCUCGUUGCUCCGUUCUGUUGACCAGAGAUGGUACAGAGACAUUGUUUGAAAGGCAAUGUGGGAAUUUCAAGUUGUGGUUAGAUGCUCCACUAGUAUAUAAGAGAAAAAAUACUUAUAGAAAAUCAGUUACUAAAUAAAUGAAAAAAUCAUAGGAUAAAGGGAGAGGGAUAGUUGAUGGGUAAUAGCAGUGGGCAGUGGUGAGACAUGCAGAUCGAGCCAGUGAUGUUUGGUCUAUGCUUGAUACUGUGAGAAAGGAGGAACAGAACAGGACACUCAGAUUAUGACUUUCCUUCUCCAGAUCCAUGUUUCUGGCCAUGUUUUCCUCUGUUUCUCUAGCACUGGAAAGACCACCUAGCAACUCUAACUGGUAAAAAUUCUCAUAGGUUUUCAGAGGAGAACAAGAAAACUGACUUAAGUGGGAAUUUAUGCUCCAGAAGUGUAACUCUUGGGCAGGACAAAACAAACAUAUCCUUUUGGUGUCAUUCCCACCUUGCCCACAAUUACUUGAUAUAAUUGGGGUAAAGGGACACACAUGUUACUCCACAGAGAUGUGUUCCCAGCUGCCUUUAGGACUUAUUAUGGAAAUUGGAUAUUGUCCCCUGGUAUUAAAUUUGCCCUCCAACCUGGAAAACAGACUUUAAUUACAACUAACAUCCUCUCCUUAUCCUAGUUACUUUGUCAUCCAGAUACUUGGGCCUCUGGAAUUUCUCAGUCAGACUAUAGCUCACUUCUUCCAUUUUUACCCAUGAUUUAUUUCACUUUCAACUUUUGACCACUGCUUUCAGUGUAAUUGUUAAAAAUGGGGAAAGAAAAAAAAUAGAGAAGAAAGAAAAGCUGAUCCAGGAAGCAAGGUGAAGUGGGGAGUCUGCAGGCAGCAGAUGGGAAACAAGCACAGAGCACUAGCAACAAUGCGAAAACAGGGUCAGCAGGAAACAGCAAGUAAACAAAGCUUCCUCUAUGGAAAAUGUAUUUGCAUUGACUGCAUUAACUUUGCAUAAGAGAAAGGGCAAACUUUAGGCUACAGAGUUCCUUUUCCUUUCCCUGGAAAAGUUAGUUAUACAGAUUUAAGGCAUUUUGUAACUAUAAUUUGAGUCAAUGACAAAAAAAUGGCAAAUUAAAUAUACUAUAACUCUUCAAACUCUCUUCUCAGCCUGUAUCUGUGUAGUACCCAGCAUAAUGGCAUCCUUGUCUGUGACUUGAUGUAGCUUCCCAUGGCACUUCUCUGUUACUAACAAUGAAUAACAAAAUAGAAAAGUGACUUAUGAACAUGUCCAAAAUCUAAAUUUAAAAAGUAGGGUGAAAUUUUGCAGUGCAAGCAAGUGCCUCAGGAGUACAGUUAGAUCUCCUCUUACAAAAUUACCUGGAAGUGUUUCAGCCCCCUCUCCUGCUGGGGUUACUGUCCAUGUGGCUGAACCGCUACACCUGAACAUUGAGACUCGUUUGUGUCCAUGUGUUCUGGCACCUCAGUUCUGGAGGUGAAACCCUCCAGGAAAGAAGCAGCAACCACAGGUUAACAGCAGUAAGUGAAGGUGUGUCUAUGCCUGAAGUCUGAAUAUUAAAUAUUAGCAGAAUGCUUUAGACUGUGACCCAGUAAUGUAACUGGAAAUCAAGCAUUUACAUACCUUUAAUAGCUGUAGAGCUCAGCGCUGCAGUCACUGGCCAUAGUUUUGGGUCCCAGUCUACUUUUGCACACUGGGCAAAAAUGGACAUGAAAUUACAGUAACUUCCCCUAAAUUCUCUCCUUUUUGUAAAAAGGAAAACCAGCAAACCAUAAUGUAAUCUAAUAUCAGGCAGACAUUUGCUUUACAGGAUAACAGACAUAAUAGAUUAAAUUAAUCACAGAGCAAGUAUAAUGUAAUUUAAAGGUGUUAACAUAGAUGCAUACAUAUUUAUUGCCAAUGUUAAUGACUGUAGAAGGUGAAAAGCACUGAAUACUCGGGAUUACAGAAAUAUAUCUACCACAGACAAAACAUUGCUCACUGAAGGGGAUUGUUAUGAGUUACAAGUAUAGUUCAGAGUCUCAGACAGCCAGCUUUCAGCCCUGCAAUUCCCUGAGACAAGCCACUGCACCUCUGCAAGUUGGCUGAUAUUGGUAUUUACCAUUCCCUUUAACCUGCUUCAAAACGGUGAGAACCAUUUUUCCCUCCUCUCUGGAGCAAUCUGUACUGCAUUUCUCAACCUGCCAGCUAAACCAUCCAGAAGUCAGCCUUGCUUCCUUCUCUGAGUUUGAUGGGCAGGAAGAACAGAAGGAAAGGAGGACACUAAGAAAACACAGCAUACCAGCAGCAAGCACUGCAGGUGUUUGAGAGGUACAACAUUCAGAUAAGUUCUAAACACCUGAUGGACAUUUCUCUGAGCAGAAGCCAAGGAACAGGUGAGGUAAAUGUGCUGAUUCUUCUGACAUCCCUGCAGAGGACAAAGAAAAAGGGGUCUGAGGAUGGUGAUAUGAGGUACAGGGCAGAUAGAUCAAGGUUGCUUCCAGUUUCAGAGGGAGCAAGGAUCUUUUUGGAAGGUUAAAAAAGUAGCUGCAACACAAACUGUGGGUAUAAGGUUAAUGACUUUCCUUAUCCAAGAAGUUAAAGCCAGCCUUCUUAGAAGAAUAAAUUAUGGGAUGCCUUAUCCCGUGUAACAUGGAGGCACUUCUCUACAGCAGGAACAGGUUUCCUUACCUUGGGAGGGGCAACCAAGUUUUCAGGUACUGUUGCAUUUGUACUAUAAACUUUUUUUUUUUUUAAAAAGGCACUUCAAUGUACAGAAAAAUGAAGUGAACCAUUAAAAAAAAAAGAUACAGCAAAAAUAUUCAUUCAUUAAGCAUUCCCUAAUCCCUCUAAAGAGGUCUGUGUAUCCAGAGCAAAGCAGAAUUACUAAAGAUGGAAGAUCAAUAUCAAAUAGGCAGUUCUUGUGAGCAGUGAUUUUGGCAUUUUAGAGUUCAGAAACCCCUGCAGGAAAAUUAACCUCUACGCACUGUUCUGUAACAAGGAAAUAAAUAAAUUAAAAAAAAAAAAAAAAUAUCUGGGCAUGCUGCCUGAAAGAUUACAAGACUAUAACAUUAAGUAUGAGAGCAAAAAAAAAUUCAAAGCAAUUAAAAGUGCCUACAUGUUUUUUCCUUCACAGCAGCAAUGAGAAAUCAUACCUUGUGAGCAUAUAACUGAUUUAGAACAUAAUUCUGCAGAAGCUUCUAAGAGUGUAGAAGCUGACUUACACAAGUAAAAGCUUGCAUAAGCUUCAUGUUCAGCAAUGCAGGUAAAUUCAGUGCAUGAUAAUGAAGACUUCAGCACUGUUGGGCAGUAGAACAGGUUAUUUUGGCAUCCUUAAAACCCAUUGUAUCUUGAUAGGCUGCCAACGAUGCAGUUGCAGCACCUUUCUGAAGCUGCCAGUUGUGAUAGGCACAUUGCUCUCAGCUAAAUGGCUAUAAUGUCUCAGUGUAAAAAGAGUUGAAGCAAUGGACAACCACUGGCCCCAUAAGAAGUCGCAGGGAAAACUGGGACAGUAAUGCUGUCUGUUGGGUUUUCCAAAGGUCUGAUAAAGGUGGGAGAGGUAAAAGACUGGUUUAUAUAACAGGAUAUAAUCGAGAAAAACAGGAGAAGUAGCCAAGGAGUACUCCAAGAGAACAGCAAAGCCAUUCCACAGGGCCAUCUCUGCAAUUUUUCUGCCACUUUCUUUCUGCAAAAAAGAGACAGAAAAAGAUUGUGGUUGCCACAAAACUGCUUCCUGCUGUUUGAUUACUCUGUAUCUACAGGAUGCAAGAACAGGAUGGCACAAAAAACCCCAACAAUCGCCAUCACCACUACCUUCUCCUGAGACUGACAAGCUGCAAUACUCUGGCUAUAACUGAGUUGUAGGAAUAUAAAAAGGUAGCGUGGGGAAGGGAUGAGGCAGUUUUUAAGAAAGAAAACCUUGAGCUGUUCUUAUAAAUUAGCAGGGGUAAGACUAUAGAUGCUUGCAAAAGUAAGUUGUUUGGGCAUUAUGAACUGAAGAAAUUAAAGUGAGAGCUGAAUUCCUCACAGAAGAAAUUAACUCAUUUCAAAGGUUUCUUGGAAAACAAAUCUGAUUCUGUGAUGCCACUGCUUGCUGGAAAGCAGCUGCAACCACCCAGCCACGCAGAAAAGCUGAGUUGUAUUGCUCACUGCUGAAAACAGCAAGACAGACCAGCAGGGUGGCCCAUGUUCUGUGGAAGAUUUUCUCCAAAGAAAGGAUAGACAAAAAAAGAAGUUUGGUCCAGCUUGUACUUGCUGGGCAUUCUCAGUGACCUGGAUAGGCAGCUACACCAACCAGAAAAUAUCAGGAGUUCAGCAUUUCUCUGCCCCGUGUGUAACGCACAGAUGUCCAGAGGGUCAAGAACAGACCUGUGCCAUGACACAAGAGCCCAUUUCUCUAAGUGCAAUUCUUUAAGUUGCAUUGCAAGACCAUUUCAGGCAAUUCAAUACUGCAGUUCAAAUUAAUGGUUUUGGAGACAGACAAAAUAGGAGAGGUUCCUUUGUGACACCUCCUGCUCUCUGUUAGAGCUAAAAAACAUGUUGCCAGAAGAGAGACCUGUUCCCCAAAUCCUUUUUAAAGGCACCUGUCAGUCUGAGUGAGCCAAGGUGAGGGUGGGAAGGAGGAGGCUCUCUCCAAACUGACAGGGGACAAACAAGCUUUUACCCUGGAUAGAUUCAGAUUCAGUACAGUUACUAAAGAUCAGCUGACAGCAGACCAAGUUAUUGCUGCUCAUAGAGCUUGGCUCUGCGGAUGAGCAGAAAUAUAACACUAAAAGAAAAUAUUUCGCCAUGAAGCAUACUUUGCAUUGGAGCUAUGAAUUGAAAGCAACCAGUACUGGAGAUGAAAGUAAAUCAUCAGAAGAAAAUAACUACAGAAACAUUAAUGCCCUCUUGUGAAAAGCAAUAAAAAUGAGCAUCCUACAAAAUGGGCUAUAAAUGGAACUUUCAGUGUGCUUCAAUACCAAGAUUUUCUGAAGCACAAGGAAGCUUUGCACUUGCCUUCCCAGAAUCUUUAUAUUUCAUCCUAUAAUCUGAGUUCACUAUCAGAAAAAAAAACCUCAACUGCCCUUCACUCACCUGUGCUCCCACUGCAUUUUCCUAACUAUCAUGGCUUUUUUCUUCCUGUUUACUGAACACACAGGAAAUUGUGCUAAAUUAUCCCUAGCAAUUGAGAACAACUUACUGUUGCAAGACAACUACUGUUCUGUACUUCUAAAGCAGAUUAAGCUUGCCCGGUUCUCUGCUCAAAAACGACUGUCACUGUGGCUAAUCUGGAUGCAAUUACCUAUUUCAGGUUUCAGUUUAUUGCUCAAAUAGAAACCUCAAAAUAAGCAAACCAGUGGUGAUGGGUGAUGCCAACUCUCUUCUGCAAUCACAGCCAUCCCCUUACUUCAUGUAGCUGUCCCCUCUUUCCACUGGAGAACAGCUGAGAAGUGUCUGACCAAGCCCCAGGGAGACACAUCCCAUUCCUCUAAAAGACCCUCAAGAGAGGGUUUUCCCAUGGAUGUGAGCUAAGCUGGUGAAAGCAUAUGCACUUCAGCGUGGAGUCCCACAGACAGUGGAGAACCCAUUGGUCUUUGUUACUUCCACAACAAAUCUGUAGCUGGGAAGUCUCUUAAACUUGUCAUCGGCCUGCCAUAUUUUGCAGUUGGUUUGUUUCUAAUCAUCCAUUUCACAGCCACCAAGUGAUAUUCAGCCCCCUGCAGGCAGCUGGUCAUUUGCUGCAUUAGGGUGUUGCUCCACAAACUUAGACAUCCAGUGAGGGGAGAUGAGAAGAAAACCAUGCCAGAAGUCACCUUCCCUCCUGUCCUUCCAUUCUCCUCCAGAGGCACAGCAGGAACACACGAACAGACCAGUGCUGACCAGCGAGCGCAGCAAUGCCCACAGCGUUACACCAGCUCAAGGUUUAGCGGUGCUCAGAGCUCUGCAAAGCAUUGGACAACCAGCACCUUGAAAGCCUGCCUAAGCAGACAGCAGAAAAUAAGUAUUAUUAUUUUCAUUGCAGUGAUGGUAAAUGGAGCCUCACAGAGAUUAAAUGACCUGCUCAUGGUCAGAUGAGUGGUAUCUUUCAAAGCUAACACAUAAAUCUAAAUCAUCAACUUACCAAUUUAACACCUUAAUAGCAAGGCCACUCUUCUUCAGUUCUUUCAAGAGUUUGUCUCUAAGAGUUGGUAUAUAAGAACUGUAAAAGUUUUCUUCCAUUUUUUCUGGUGUCCCUCACUCUUUUCCAGUCUGCUGCAGAGAAGCUACAGUCAGUAGACUAUCAUGAGGGCUUGAAGAGAUAUAUUUCUGUGUAAACUUAAAGAAAGAUGUCUAGUCCGGGAUUUCCAUGUGAGGAGAAAACAGAAGUUUCAACUGUCCAACUAACAGUAACUACAACACUAAGUCAUCCUGGGUAGAACACAGCCAUGUCAACAGCCAGGACAGAGCAACAUAAUUAAGAAAAAUAUGCAUUGCAUGGUCAUGCAACCAUGACCUGGAGCUCUGAGCUGAAAAGGAAGAACUCUGUUUAUCACAGAUUUCAUUCAGCUUAAUCUUUUAACUGGCUACACAGUGUUUUCAUAUGGAUGUUUUCUAUAUAACUAUAUUUGCAUACCUAAAGCUUUUUUCUUCCCAUUUAUGGAGGUUUAAGAUCAAAAAGCUGAAAAUGUAGUCAAAGCUUUUCACUGUACAUAGUUAUCAAAAGUAAAUAAAUCAGAGGGAUCAUAGAGACGCAUUUGGGAACGAGUAGGAGGAAGCUAUGCAGAAUUUUGCUUGAAAGAGUGCAGUCAUGCUGAAAAGCAAGUUCAGACUAGUUCGGAUAUAUGGAAACAAGUAGAUCAUGUUCUUGUUGAUUUAUGCUGAUAAAGAAGCCAAUGCAUGAUUUCUCAUUUUCAGUAAAAGCUCUAAGUUUUCUACCCUAACUGGCCAUAGCAUAAAUUUCACAGCACAACUGCUUGAUGCAGAGAGAUAGAGACAAAAAUGACACAGGGAUGUGCAGACAUCACUUAAGCCACAAUUUUCUGGGGGCUCAUUGUGCCCUGACUACGGUGGAAGAGGUCAGACUGGAGAGGUACAGUGGUUCAAAGUGGUUUGAACCACAGCUACAAGUGACAGAGAGUAAUAACCCUAACACAUGAGUACAAUCUUCUGCCUACACCAUCCUCUUGGGGGGAAGAAAAAGAGAGAAAGAGAGAGAAAGAGAAAGGAGGAGAGGAGAAGAAAGAAGAAGGAAGAAAGAGGGAAGAAAGAAGGAAGAAAGAGGGAAGAAAGAAGGAAGAAAGAAGGAAGAAAAAAGGAAGAAAGAAGGAAGAAAGAAGGAAGAAAGAAGGAAGAAAGAAGGAAGAAAGAAGGAAGAAAGAAGGAAGAAAGAAGGAAGAAAGAAGGAAGAAAGAAGGAAGAAAGAAGGAAGAAAGAAGGAAGAAAGAAGGAAGAAAGAAGGAAGAAAGAAGG